rnacentral:rRNA from 1 species
GAUGAACGCUGGCGGCGUGCCUAACACAUGCAAGUCGAACGGAGAUUACGGACGGAAGUUUUCGGAUGGAAGCCUGUAAUUCUUAGUGGCGGACGGGUGAGUAACGCGUGGGCAACCUGCCCUAUACAGGGGGAUAGCAGCUGGAAACGGCUGGUAAGACCGCAUAAGUCGGUUAAAUCGCAUGAUUUGAUCGGGAAAUGAGCAAUCAGGUAUAGGAUGGGCCCGCGUCCGAUUAGCCAGUUGGCAGGGUAAAAGCCUACCAAAGCGACGAUCGGUAGCCGGACUGAGAGGUCGGACGGCCACAUUGGGGCUGAGACACGGCCCAAACUCCUACGGGAGGCAGCAGUGGGGGAUAUUGCACAAUGGAGGAAACUCUGAUGCAGCGACGCCGCGUGAGUGAAGAAGUAUUUCGGUAUGUAAAGCUCUAUCAGCAGGGAAGAUGAUGACGGUACCUGACUAAGAAGCCCCGGCUAACUACGUG